CGGCGAACGGGUGAGUAACACGUGAGUAACCUGCCCCGAAGAUCGGGAUAGCCCGGGGAAACCCAGAUUAAUACCGAAUACCUUCACUGGUUCACAUGGACCGGUGAAGAAAUGCUUUUGCGCUUCGGGAUGGACCCGCGGCCUAUCAGCUAGUUGGUGGGGUAACGGCCUACCAAGGCAUCGACGGGUAGCUGGUCUGAGAGGACGAUCAGCCACACUGGGACUGAGACACGGCCCAG
rnacentral:rRNA from 1 species